AACUGUUUUUUUUGCGCUUUUACGGGCGUUUUGCCCUUGGUAGGGCCCUGGGGCCUUGAUUGCAACAAAUCGCGUGUCUUUUGCAAACAUGUGAGAUUUCUGCUACGGUCGGUUAGCUGGGCACUAUUCUUUCUUAUGGGGUUACGUGCUGUUGGUGGUGAUCUUGUUGUGCACUUGGUAUUUGACGCCAAUUAUUUGUGUAUGUUUUACAGGGUGAUGUUUCAAUGCCCCUAGGAAAUCAAGAGACUAUGCGGACUGUUGUGAGGCUAAACUAUCACUCAAAAUGCAAGAGAAAUCAUGUUCCUAAAAAAGCGGAUUUGCGGCUCCGAUUUUCAUGGAGCCCUGCUUGCUCUACCAUUAGUGCUCUACCAACUGCUCUACCAUCUGAGCUACAUCUCCGGUCACGUUCAAUUGAUGAACGCCACUUGUUGCUCACGUUCAUACUAAUAAUCAUGCGUUGAUAAAUUAUAUACUCAACGUUCCGUUCUCUUUACCAUA